rnacentral:rRNA from 1 species
CCUACGGGAGGCAGCAGUGGGGAAUAUUGGACAAUGGGGGAAACCCUGAUCCAGCAAUGCCGCGUGAGUGAUGAAGGCCUUAGGGUUGUAAAGCUCUUUUACCAGGGAUGAUAAUGACAGUACCUGGAGAAUAAGCUCCGGCUAACUCCGUGCCAGCAGCCGCGGUAAUACGGAGGGAGCUAGCGUUGUUCGGAAUUACUGGGCGUAAAGCGCACGUAGGCGGUUACUCAAGUCAGAGGUGAAAGCCCGGGGCUCAACCCCGGAACUGCCUUUGAAACUAGGUAACUAGAAUCCUGGAGAGGUGAGUGGAAUUCCGAGUGUAGAGGUGAAAUUCGUAGAUAUUCGGAAGAACACCAGUGGCGAAGGCGGCUCACUGGACAGGUAUUGACGCUGAGGUGCGAAGGCGUGGGGAGCAAACAGGAUUAGAUACCCUGGUAGUCCACGCCGUAAACGAUGAUAACUAGCUGUCCGGGCACAUGGUGUUUGGGUGGCGCAGCUAACGCAUUAAGUUAUCCGCCUGGGGAGUACGGUCGCAAGAUUAAAACUCAAAUGAAUUGACGG